rnacentral:rRNA from 1 species
UUAACCGAAUAGGGGAGCCGGAGGGAAACCGAGUCUUAAUUGGGCGUUAAGUUGCAGGGUAUAGACCCGAAACCCGGUGAUCUAGCCAUGGGCAGGUUGAAGGUUGGGUAACACUAACUGGAGGACCGAACCGACUAAUGUUGAAAAAUUAGCGGAUGACCUGUGGCUGGGGGUGAAAGGCCAAUCAAACCGGGAGAUAGCUGGUUCUCCCCGAAAGCUAUUUAGGUAGCGCCUCGUGAAUUCAUCUCCGGGGGUAGAGCACUGUUUCGGCUAGGGGGCCAUCCCGGCUUACCAACCCGAUGCAAACUGCGAAUACCGGAGAAUGUUAUCACGGGAGACACACGGCGGGUGCUAACGUCCGUCGUGAAGAGGGAAACAACCCAGACCGCCAGCUAAGGUCCCAAAGUCAUGGUUAAGUGGGAAACGAUGUGGGAAGGCCCAGACAGCCAGGAUGUUGGCUUAGAAGCAGCCAUCAUUUAAAGAAAGCGUAAUAGCUCACUGGUCGAGUCGGCCUGCGCGGAAGAUGUAACGGGGCUAAACCAUGCACCGAAGCUGCGGCAGCGACGCUGAUGCGUUGUUGGGUAGGGGAGCGUUCUGUAAGCCUGCGAAGGUGUGUCGUGAGGCAUGCUGGAGGUAUCAGAAGUGCGAAUGCUGACAUAAGUAACGAUAAAGCGGGUGAAAAGCCCGCUCGCCGGAAGACCAAGGGUUCCUGUCCAACGUUAAUCGGGGCAGGGUGAGUCGACCCCUAAGGCGAGGCCGAAAGGCGUAGUCGAUGGGAAACGGGUUAAUAUUCCCGUACUUGGUGUUACUGCGAAGGGGGGACGGAGAAGGCUAUGUUGGCCGGGCGACGGUUGUCCCGGUUUAAGCGUGUAGGUGUGUGUUCCAGGUAAAUCCGGUUCACUUUAACACUGAGGCGUGAUGACGAGGCACUACGGUGCUGAAGCAACAAAUGCCCUGCUUCCAGGAAAAGCCUCUAAGCAUCAGGUAACAUCAAAUCGUACCCCAAACCGACACAGGUGGUCAGGUAGAGAAUACCAAGGCGCUUGAGAGAACUCGGGUGAAGGAACUAGGCAAAAUGGUGCCGUAACUUCGGGAGAAGGCACGCUGACACGUAGGUGAAGUGAUUUACUCAUGGAGCUGAAGUCAGUCGAAGAUACCAGCUGGCUGCAACUGUUUAUUAAAAACACAGCACUGUGCAAACACGAAAGUGGACGUAUACGGUGUGACGCCUGCCCGGUGCCGGAAGGUUAAUUGAUGGGGUCAGCGCAAGCGAAGCUCCUGAUCGAAGCCCCGGUAAACGGCGGCCGUAACUAUAACGGUCCUAAGGUAGCGAAAUUCCUUGUCGGGUAAGUUCCGACCUGCACGAAUGGCGUAAUGAUGGCCAGGCUGUCUCCACCCGAGACUCAGUGAAAUUGAACUCGCUGUGAAGAUGCAGUGUACCCGCGGCAAGACGGAAAGACCCCGUGAACCUUUACUAUAGCUUGACACUGAACAUUGAGCCUUGAUGUGUAGGAUAGGUGGGAGGCUUUGAAGUGUGGACGCCAGUCUGCAUGGAGCCGGCCUUGAAAUACCACCCUUUAAUGUUUGAUGUUCUAACGUGGACCCGUGAUCCGGGUUGCGGACAGUGUCUGGUGGGUAGUUUGACUGGGGCGGUCUCCUCCUAAAGAGUAACGGAGGAGCACGAAGGUUGGCUAAUCCUGGUCGGACAUCAGGAGGUUAGUGCAAUGGCAUAAGCCAGCUUGACUGCGAGCGUGACGGCGCGAGCAGGUGCGAAAGCAGGUCAUAGUGAUCCGGUGGUUCUGAAUGGAAGGGCCAUCGCUCAACGGAUAAAAGGUACUCCGGGGAUAACAGGCUGAUACCGCCCAAGAGUUCAUAUCGACGGCGGUGUUUGGCACCUCGAUGUCGGCUCAUCACAUCCUGGGGCUGAAGUAGGUCCCAAGGGUAUGGCUGUUCGCCAUUUAAAGUGGUACGCGAGCUGGGUUUAGAACGUCGUGAGACAGUUCGGUCCCUAUCUGCCGUGGGCGCUGGAGAACUGAGGGGGGCUGCUCCUAGUACGAGAGGACCGGAGUGGACGCAUCACUGGUGUUCGGGUUGUCAUGCCAAUGGCACUGCCCGGUAGCUAAAUGCGGAAGAGAUAAGUGCUGAAAGCAUCUAAGCACGAAACUUGCCCCGAGAUGAGUUCUCCCUGAGACUUAGAGUCUCCUGAAGGAACGUUGAAGACGACGACGUUGAUAGGCCGGGUGUGUAAGCGCAGCGAUGCGUUGAGCUAACCGGUACUAAUGAACCGUGAGGCUUAACCUUACAACGCCGAA